UCAAUUUUUACUUAAUUUAUACAUGCAAGUAUCCGCACCCCUGUGAAAACGCCCUUUAAUUCCCCCUAGGAAUAAGGAGCUGGUAUCAGGCACAUUUCUAUUACCCAAAACACCUAGCUACGCCACACCCACAAGGGACCUCAGCAGUAAUCAACAUUGAACAUCAGCGACAGCUUGAUUCAGUCAAAGUAAACAGAGCCGGCUAAUCUGGUGCCAGCCGCCGCGGUUAUACCAUAAGGCUCAAAUUGAUUCCAAUCGGCGUAAAGAGUGAUUUAAGAACUCCACUAUUGGCGUUAAAUUUGUACUAAGCUGUGACACGCUUGUCCCUUAGAAACUUCAAAACGAAAGUUACCCCAACUUAACCAACUUGAAUUCACGACAGCCAAGAAACAAACUGGGAUUAGAUACCCCACUAUGCUUGGCAGUAAACCUUAAAUUACACCAAAAUCGCCUGGGAACUACGAGCCAAGCUUAAAACCCAAAGGACUUGACGGUACCCCAAAUCCACCUAGAGGAGCCUGUCCUAUAAUCGAUAACCCCCGCUUUACCUUACCACUUCUUGCUAACCAGCCUGUAUACCUCCGUCGUCAGCUUACCUCAUGAGCGAAACAUAGUGAGCUAAAUGCUAUUCCACCAACACGUCAGGUCAAGGUGCAGCUUAUGAAGUGGAAAGAGAUGGGCUACACUCCCUAAUCUAAGGCAUACAAAAAACUAUCUAUGAAAUCUAGUCUAAAGGCGGAUUUAGAAGUAAAAAGGAACCAAAGAGUUCUUUUUAACCUGGCACUGGGGUGUGUACACACCGCCCGUCACCCUCUUCAAAGUCUAAUUACAGUUUUUAACUCUAACAUAACACAACAGAAGAGGCAAGUCGUAACAUGGUAAGUAUACNNNNNNNNNNNNNNNNNNNNNNAAUAUAGCUUAAUUCUAAAGCACUCCGCUUACACCGGAUAAAUCUCUGUGAAACCCAGACUAUUGUGAGCUAAUCUUUUAGCCCUAAUUUAUCUUAUACCACCUCCAUAACCUCACCUACAAAUUAAAACAUUCUAACGACCUAGUAAAGGAGAUUGAAACCCCGUUUAGAGCUAUAAAAAGAGUACCGCAAGGGAAAAAUGAAAUAAAAAUGAAAUAAAUUUUAAGCAAAAAAUAGUAGAGAAUGACUCUCGUACCUUUCGCAUCAUGGUUUAACUAGUUCAACCAAGCAAAAAGACCUUCAGUUUGACCUCCCGAAACUAAACGAGCUACUUUAAGGCAGCUUAUUGAGCUAACCCGUCUCUGUUGAAAAAGAGUGGGAAGACCUUUAAGUAGAAGUGACAGACCUACCGAGUUUAGUAAUAGCUGGUUGCUUAAGAAGAGGACCUAAGUCCGCAAUAAAUUGACUUUUAUACAAAAAAAUUUUACCCUCAAUUUAAACUCAUUCAAGUAAGGUACAGCCUGCUUGAAAAAGGAUACAACCUCCUUAUAUGGGUAAUAUAUGCAAUUUCUAUAACUAAGUAGGCCUAAAAGCAGCCACCUUUAACAACAGCGUCAAAGCUUAAUUAUAAACAAGCCUAAUCACCUCCACCUCAUAAAACCCUACACCACUAUUAAGCAAUUCUAUAUUUACUAUAGAAAAUUUUAUGUUAAAACUAGUAAUAAGAAUUAACACUUCUCUUAAAUGCAAACACACAUCAGACUGAAUAAACCACUGAUAAAUAACACCCAUAACUUUAUAAUAGUAACUAAACAAGAAAACUCUAUUUCCCUUAAUGUUAACCUAACACAAGAGCAUUACAAGAAAGAUUAAAAGAAAAAGAAGGAACUCGGCAAACAUUAACCCCGCCUGUUUACCAAAAACAUCGCCUCUUGACCCACAUAAGAGGUCCAGCCUGCCCAGUGACAUUGUUCAACGGCCGCGGUAUCCUAACCGUGCGAAGGUAGCGUAAUCACUUGUCCUUUAAAUAAGGACUAGUAUGAAAGGCAUCACGAGAGUUAUACUGUCUCCUUUCUCUAAUCAAUGAAACUAAUCCCCCCGUGAAGAAGCGAGGAUAAAAAUAUAAGACGAGAAGACCCUAUGGAGCUUAAAAUAAAUAACACUUAUCAACUUUUAUUUAAAUUCCAGAAAAAUUUCCUACUUUGAUUCUAUGAUUAUUAAUUUUCGGUUGGGGUGACCACGGAACAAAAAAUAACUUCCGCAAUGAAUCUUUAUUUAAGGACUACAAUCCGAUAUAUCAACAAAUUAACAUUAAUUGAUCCAAGAUAUUGAUCAAUGAACCAAGUUACCCUAGGGAUAACAGCGCAAUCCACUUCAAGAGCUCCUAUCGACAAGUGGGUUUUCGACCUCGAUGU
rnacentral:ncRNA from 1 species